GUCUAUAGUCAUACCACCAUGAACACUAUCUCUUCUGAUCUUGGAAGCUAAGCAGGGCCAGGCCUGGUUAGUACUUGGAUGAGAGAAAUUGUACUUCUGCAGAAUAUUGACA
rnacentral:rRNA from 1 species